UAGAGAGAAGCUUGCUUCUCUUGAGAGCGGCGGACGGGUGAGUAAUGCCUAGGAAUCUGCCUGGUAGUGGGGGAUAACGUUCGGAAACGGACGCUAAUACCGCAUACGUCCUACGGGAGAAAGCAGGGGACCUUCGGGCCUUGCGCUAUCAGAUGAGCCUAGGUCGGAUUAGCUAGUUGGUGGGGUAAUGGCUCACCAAGGCGACGAUCCGUAACUGGUCUGAGAGGAUGAUCAGUCACACUGGAACUGAGACACGGUCCAGACUCCUACGGGAGGCAGCAGUGGGGAAUAUUGGACAAUGGGCGAAAGCCUGAUCCAGCCAUGCCGCGUGUGUGAAGAAGGUCUUCGGAUUGUAAAGCACUUUAAGUUGGGAGGAAGGGCAGUAAACUAAUACUUUGUUGUUUUGACGUUACCGACAGAAUAAGCACCGGCUAACUCUGUGCCAGCAGCCGCGGUAAUACAGAGGGUGCAAGCGUUAAUCGGAAUUACUGGGCGUAAAGCGCGCGUAGGUGGUUUGUUAAGUUGGAUGUGAAAUCCCCGGGCUCAACCUGGGAACUGCAUUCAAAACUGACUAACUAGAGUAUGGU
rnacentral:rRNA from 1 species